UACGUAGGGUCCGAGCGUUGUCCGGAUUCAUUGGGCGUAAAGAGCUCGUAGGCGGUUUCGUAAGUCGGAUGUGAAAACUCAGGGCUCAACCCGGAGACGCCAUCCGAUACUGCGAUGACUGGAGUCUGGUAGGGGAACACGGAAUACCUGGUGUAGCGGUGAAAUGCGCAGAUAUCAGGUGGAACACCGAUGGCGAAGGCAGUGUUCUGGGCCAGUACUGACGCUGAGGAGCGAAAGCGUGGGGAGCAAACAGG
rnacentral:rRNA from 1 species